GGGGGGGGGGGGGGGGGGGGGGGGGGGGGGCGGGGGGGGGGGGGAGGGGCCUGUGGGGGGGCUGGGGGGGCGGACGGGGGAGUAACAGGUGAGUGACCUGCCCUUGGCGGCGGGAGAACGUCAGGAGCCUGGGGCUAAUACCGGACGGGGAGCCUGGCGGGCUGGGCGGGGUUGGCAAUCGUCGGCGGUUUUGGAGGGACUCGCGGCUUAUCAGCUUGUUGGUGGGGUAGUGGCUUACCAAGGCUUUGACGGGUAGCCGGCCUGAGAGGGCGACCGGCCACAUUGGGACUGAGAUACGGCCCAGACUCCUACGGGAGGCAGCAGUGGGGAAUAUUGCACAAUGGGCGGAAGCCUGAUGCAGCAACGCCGCGUGCGGGAUGACGGCCUUCGGGUUGUAAACCGCUUUCAGCAGGGGCGAAGCUUGUGGUGACGGUACCUGCAGAAGAAGCACCGGCUAACUACGUG
rnacentral:rRNA from 1 species